rnacentral:lncRNA from 1 species
AUGGGUUCAGCUGCCAGGCACGGCGAAAUGAGCUUCCAUCCACGUGGAGUAGGCGCGGAGGCCCCUUCCCCGCCUGGGCCCCGCCGCGCAGGAUGGGCGCUCGGCUCCGGCGCCUGGGCUGUGCACUCCGCGUGGGCGGGAGGCCUAAACGGACGACCUUGGGCUCCGGAAAGCUGGCCUGCGCACUCAGGUCACCCUGUCCUGUUUACCGGAGCAGCUCCGGCCCCCAGGGGUCACUCUAGAACAGUGGUGGCAAUCCAGUGGCACGCGUGCCGCAGCAGGCUGUUUGUAUCAUUGAAAGCUCUGGAAGGUUCACUAUCACUGCUCUAGGAUUUAAGAGUAGGAACCUUUACCUUAGUCUGCUUUCAAAAACACUAUACCUUUUAGUGUAUAACGUAAG